rnacentral:ncRNA from 2 species
UACGGAGGAUCCAAGCGUUAUCCGGAUUCAUUGGGUUUAAAGGGUGCGUAGGCGGAAUAGUAAGUCAGCGGUGAAAUCCUACAGCUUAACUGUAGAACUGCCGUUGAUACUGCUAAUCUUGAGUACAGAUGAUGUGGGCGGAAUGUGUCGUGUAGCGGUGAAAUGCUUAGAUAUGACACAGAACACCGAUUGCGAAGGCAGCUCACAAAACUGUAACUGACGCUGAGGCACGAAAGCGUGGGGAUCGAACAGG